AACGUGUCUUCUGCGUGUCACUUCCCAACUAGGGGAGGGAUGCAAUGCAAAAUUGUGAGACGAUCGGUUGGAGAGCUUAGGAAUGGUUUGGAGUGCACUGGUGAUCGAAGUUGUGCUUUUCUGUCGGAACUAGUGUAGUAAGGCAAGGAUGAAAACCAGCAGCAAAGCAAAGCAAAAAAAAGUGCUGAGGAGUCACUUGAGUCUGUAAAUGGAAAGAAAACACUGAAAAAUGACGAUUGUAGUUGCAAUGGAUGCCAGAAAUAUUUUUCUGAAAAACUGGUGUAGUGUUGUCAUUCAGACAUAGAGAGACUAUUCCUUCUUCACUGCCAAAGGCUAACUGAACUUUAUUGAUUAACACGUUACACAUAUACAAGUAUAAGAGUUUACUGACUUGAAUUGCAAGUAGUACAUUUACUGAAUUAAGUACAAAGUGCUCACCUUAGAACCCAUAUUAAGGUGGUUGUCAAUAAUUAAGAUAGGUACAUGUAUAAUCAAUACACUACAACUGGCAGAUACAGUUUCUAUUGUACUCCAGUAUAUACAUCUUUCCCAAAAGAUUGUAUUUCUUUAGAGAAGAAUGAAAACUUAAAAGCAUUCUUUAAUCAGUAUAAAA